rnacentral:rRNA from 1 species
UACGUAGGGGGCAAGCGUUGUCCGGAUUUAUUGGGCGUAAAGAGCGUGUAGGCGGCCUGAAAGGUCAGCUGUGAAAACUCGAGGCUCAACCUCGAGACGUCGGUUGAAACCAUCUGGCUAGAGUCCGGAAGAGGAGUGUGGAAUUCCCGGUGUAGCGGUGAAAUGCGCAGAUAUCAGGAAGAACACCAAUGGCGAAGGCAGCUCUCUGGGACGGUACU